rnacentral:rRNA from 1 species
GUGGGGAAUCUUAGACAAUGGGCGCAAGCCUGAUCUAGCCAUGCCGCGUGAGCGAUGAAGGCCUUAGGGUUGUAAAGCUCUUUCGUGGGGGAAGAUAAUGACUGUACCCCAAGAAGAAGCCCCGGCUAACUCCGUGCCAGCAGCCGCGGUAAUACGGAGGGGGCUAGCGUUGUUCGGAAUUACUGGGCGUAAAGCGCACGUAGGCGGACUGGAAAGUCAGGGGUGAAAUCCCGGGGCUCAACCACGGAACUGCCUGUGAAACGCCCAGUCUUGAGUUCGAGAGAGGUGAGUGGAAUUCCGAGUGUAGAGGUGAAAUUCGUAGAUAUUCGGAGGAACACCAGUGGCGAAGGCGGCUCACUGGCUCGAUACUGACGCUGAGGUGCGAAAGCGUGGGGAGCAAACAGGAUUAGAAACCCCAGUAGUCC